CAGACUCUGGAAGAUACUUCUGUAACAAUGAAGCAGCUGCAGAUCUGACGGUGAUCCCAUCAGGAACAACUCUAGUCCCUGCUCCAGAGAGGACCAGCAUCACUCUGACAUGUCCUCAUGAUGUCGGAGCAUCACAUGUUCCAACAUGGAGCAGAGACUCUGGUGGAAAACCACUAAGAAGGUUUGAUGUUUCCCCUGUCGACCAGACGUUGACUAUAACAGACGUGCAGCCUGGUGACUCUGGACUUUACUACUGUGAUGGAAAACCAGCUGUUUAUCUGAACGUGAUCAAAGGUCACGUGAUCGAAGGUAACAAGGCACCACGCACAACAACCACAACCACAACCACAACAAGACAAACAUCAGCAGCACUUCCUC